rnacentral:lncRNA from 1 species
UGGGGCUUCCUGGGGCUCUAGAUCAAGGAGAAAAAGAGAGAAGAAAAGAGACGAACGGAUCUUCUCUUGGAUCUUUUUUUAAUUUUUUUAGAGUAUAAAAAUUUAUAUUAUUUUUUAUAUGAAAAAUUAGAUUAGAUCUAUUUUUUAUCAUAAAAAAUCAGAGAAGAAAAGUUCUUCUUAAAGGUGUGAAAGGAAGAGAGAAAAGUUUUCUCUUGUGCA